GAUAGCGCACAAGUAGAGUGAUCGAAAGAUGAAAAGCACUUUGGAAAGAGAGUUAAAAAGUACGUGAAAUUGUUGAAAGGGAAGCGCUUGCAACCAGACUUGCCCGCGGGUGAUCAGCCGGUAUUCUUACCGGUGCACUCGCCCGUGGUCAGGCCAGCAUCGGUUUGGGCGGUUGGAUAAACGCCCCUGGAACGUAGCUCCUCCCGGGGGAGUGUUAUAGCCUGGGGUGCAAUGCGGCCUGCCCAGACCGAGGACCGCGCUUCCGCUAGGGUGCUGGCGCAAUGGUUGUAAGCGACCCGUCUUGAAACACGGACCAAGGAGUCUAACAUCUAUGCGAGUGUUUGGGUGUCAAACCCAUGCCGCGUAAUGAAAGUGAACGGAGGUGGGAACCUUCCGGGGUGCACCAUCGACCGAUCCUGAUGUCUUCGGAUGGAUUUGAGUAAGAGCAUAGCUGUUGGGACCCGAAAGAUGGUGAACUAUGCCUGAAUAGGGUGAAGCCAGAGGAAACUCUGGUGGAGGCUCGCAGCGGUUCUGACGUGCAAAUCGAUCGUCAAAUUUGGGUAUAGGGGCGAAAGACUAAUCGAACCAUCAUUGGCGGCACAUGAAUGAUUUGUCCCGCGGCUAGGUGGUUAAUCAGAAUAGAUAUUCUUAGUCCGAAAGGGCAACAUCGCUACUUACGUGAACAUUUCCCUGGAAAUAAACACGCAGCAGCUUCACAAGCUGUGCACAGACCAAAUAGCGGUGGCCGACUGUUCUCUCAACACCUCAACUGGCAGUUGGAGGGAACGAAAGGUCGGUUCAGAUAUGGCCGAGCCCGUCUCAGCGAUGAGAUGGCUCCAGGAUGGAACAUGCAUGGAGCCUC
rnacentral:rRNA from 1 species